ACAUCAGGCCAAAGAAUCUGCCCAGAAACCAGUCCCCAGCACCGCUGUGCCGGCCGUCUAACACCAGAAUGGUUCUCUUCGGCCCUGUCUUCACCAAGAAGGGACACCGUACAAAAAAAAGUGAAUAAGUAUCGAAAAACAGAAAAAACCA